rnacentral:lncRNA from 1 species
CCCUUGGGGAUUGACAAGGCAUUGAACAUGAGAACAGACAGCAAUGGCCAUGGGCUUUUCUCCAGCCACAUUCAGUGGUUUGGGUGCAAGCAUAGAAUGAAUAGAGGGCUGGGGUUUUGCAAGGAGAGUACAUUAGAGAAAGAGAGAAUGGCACAGGCAAGGGAGUGACGAUGAUGAUGCACUGUUGGGUCUAAGCCUGGAAAGGGUGAAGUGAGAAUCUGAGGAUGGUGAGGGACAGUGGGAGAGAGAGUGUUCUCGCGGUGGUUAUGACUCACUAAGGAUGGUUGUGAGAUAUGAAAGGGCUGACAGCUGAAGCCAUCACCAACAGCACUGCUGGCAGCUGGGCAAGAAACCCUUCCGGAAAGGGGCAUCACAGCAUCCACCACGGUCUACCCUUUGUGCAGUUGGAUCCACUCUUCACAUACACUCUGGAAGCAGCUCCUUCUGCAGUCCAGUGGGCCUCUUUCUGGGGGGAAACCUAGAAGAUAAAGAUCUAGAGUAAGACUAGCCAGAGCCCCUGCUGCUGCAGUGGGUCUGAGAACCACAACCAAUACUCAUCAUCUCUCUUCCACCAUCCAUUCCAGCUUCCUCUCACCCUCAGCCUCGACGGCUUACCUGGUGGUGUGACCCAGACAUGCAUCCCUGAGAGGUUUGUGCCCCUGGUCACCAGGCCCUUCUCAGGCUGGGCUUGCUACACUCAUGCACUUACUGUCAAAAUGGUGCAAGGACCAAAAGGUGCUCCAGUGGAGCACCCGGGUGUCAAGCAUAGUCCGUCGCAUGGAGGCAACCCAAGUAGAUUUUCACAGAAAAAAGCAAGUGAAACCCAGGAAGCUAAUAUUAAACCAUUUCCUGACUCCACCCUCAGAUAAUAAGUCCAUUAAUUUGAUUUCCUUCCCUUUGUUCAAACGAGGCUUAUCAAAACAUUCUGAUUGUAAUUGUAUGCAUAUGCGUAAAAAGUAUAUGACUGUAUGUAUGUAUCUAUAUAAAUCAGAGGCUACAGAAAAAUAUAAGGGAUACCAUAUAAAUCACCCAGAUACCACCAUCCAGAGGGAAAUACUGUUAUCCUCUUGAUACCUUUCUUUGCAGUCUUUUUCUCUGUAUAUUUCUUUGAUUUUUCUAAAAUGAAAAACUACCCAUAUGUAUAUAUAAAUUAGUAUUCUGCCUCUUUUUUGUUAAUGUGACAGUAUAUUGUAAAUACUUCCCAACCGCCUCUAUCUUGGCACUAUAUUCAUGGAAGGGCAGAUGAAUCAGGCUGAUCGUGAUUACUUCUAGACAACAUUUGUCAAAAUAAUUUUUGUGAUAAGAACCGGUUGAUUUUGAAGAAUUUAACAAAGCGAUUUCCUUUGGAAGACAAAAAGCAGCCUACAUAAUACAGAGCAUAUAUAGUAACGACUACCGUAAUAGUAAGUAUAUUAUCUCAUUUAAUACUGGAGCCGUAUUACGAGUCCAGUGCAUAUUAUUACUGCUACUACAGAUGAGGAAAUUGAGGUUCAGAGAGAUUAAAUCACUUGUCAGGGUCACACAACUAGAACCUAGAAUCAAAGCUCAAGUCUAGAUUUCCUGCCCUUGUAUCCCACACU